rnacentral:rRNA from 1 species
UGCUUAACACAUGCAAGUCGAACGAGACGAUUUAGAAGCUUGCUUUAUGAGUCGAGUGGCAAACGGGUGAGUAACGCGUAGACAACCUGCCGCAAAGACUGGGGACACAGUCCGAAAGGACUGCUAAUACCGAAUGUUGUAUCUUCUCCGCAUGGAAGAGAUAUUAAAGAUGGCCUCUACUUGUAAGCUAUCGCUUUGCGAUGGGUCUGCGUCUGAUUAGCUAGUUGGUGGGGCAACGGCCUACCAAGGUGACGAUCAGUAGCCGGUCUGAGAGGAUGAACGGCCACAUUGGAACUGAGACACGGUCCAGACUCCUACGGGAGGCAGCAGUGGGGAAUCUUCCGCAAUGGGCGAAAGCCUGACGGAGCAACGCCGCGUGAGUGAAGAAGGUCUUCGGAUCGUAAAGCUCUGUUGUCGGGGACGAAUGUUGAGAUCUAGAAUAUAGAUUUCAAAUGACGGUACCUGACGAGGAAGCCACGGCUAACUACGUG